CACAUAUAUAGGCUACUUCAACAUGAGUGGCGUAAGAAAGCAUUAGGAGUAGUUGAAGCUGGUCAGAGAUGCAAAGAGCUUCUCGAUGAGGGGUAUUACGUUUGAAUGGGUUUUUGGGAGUUGCUGAAGGGAAGCUUCAAGGAAUGACUUUUCCAAAGAUGAUCACUACCAUUCUAGAGAAAAAUUGCUAGGACUUUUACUUUUGUCUUCAAUAUGCUAGGGAUGAUGGGAUUAUAUGUAAACAAAUACAACAAGAUGGUUGAACAUGCAACUUUGGUAAUGAAUGAGUCGAUUGAAGUUGGGAACUAUUUGAAAGCAGUUGAAUUGAUGAAGUUUGGAUUUGAAAAGAUGCAAGUGUUCUUGUCAAACCAAAGCUCAAUGUACUGCUCAAUUUGGUUGGCUUGCACUACUAAAUCGUAUAACUUGAUGUUAUUAUUCUUGCUUGUUGAUGGAAAGUAUAAAAUGUUGUUUUACUGUUUGUUGUUUUAGAUUUACUAGUUAAAGUU